rnacentral:rRNA from 1 species
CCUCCCCUAAAGUUCGACCGCAGCGCGUUACACUGACAGAGCCAGCGAGUACUUCCUUGACUUAAAAGUCCGGGUAAUCUUGUUAAACUCUGUCGUGCUGGGGAUAGAGCAUUGCAAUUAUUGCUCUUCAACGAGGAAUCCCUAGUAAGCGCAAGUCAUCAGCUUGCGUUGAUUACGUCCCUGCCCUUUGUACACACCGCCCGUCGCUACUACCGAUUGAAUGGCUCAGUGAGGCUUUCGGACUGAUCUAAGGGAGGAGGCAACUCUUCCCCCUGGUCGGAAAGUUAUCCAAACUCGGUCAUUUAGAGGAAGUAAAAGUCGUAACAAGGUCUCCGUUGGUGAACCAGCGGAGGGAUCAUUACUGAGUUUACGCUCUACAACCCUUUGUGAACAUACCUAUAACUGUUGCUUCGGCGGGUAGGGUCUCCGUGACCCUCCCGGCCUCCCGCCCCCGGGCGGGUCGGCGCCCGCCGGAGGAUAACCAAACUCUGAUUUAACGACGUUUCUUCUGAGUGGUACAAGCAAAUAAUCAAAACUUUUAACAACGGAUCUCUUGGUUCUGGCAUCGAUGAAGAACGCAGCGAAAUGCGAUAAGUAAUGUGAAUUGCAGAAUUCAGUGAAUCAUCGAAUCUUUGAACGCACAUUGCGCCCGCCAGCAUUCUGGCGGGCAUGCCUGUUCGAGCGUCAUUUCAACCCUCAAGCUCUGCUUGGUGUUGGGGCCCUACAGCUGAUGUAGGCCCUCAAAGGUAGUGGCGGACCCUCCCGGAACCUCCUUUGCGUAAUAACUUUACGUCUCGCACUGGGGAUCCGGAAGGACUCUUGGCCGUAAAAACCCCCCAAUUUUUCCAAAAGGUGGACCUCCGGAAUCAGGUAAGGAAUACCCCGCUUGAACUUUAAGCAUUAUCAAUAAGCGGAGGGAAAAAAAACCAACAGGGGAUUGCCUCAUUAACGGGGAAUGAACGGCAACCGCUCAAAUUUAAAUUGGGCCUAGGGCCCAAUUGUAAUUUCAAAAGAGGUUUUGGGGGGG